UGCAUUUGUGAAGUAUGAACAAUUUUCAGAUACCUAGAGAGAAGAGACAGGAGGCAGGCAACUUCAUUAAGCUGUUACAGAGCAAUGGACCCCAUAAAUAUGAUGCUGGCGUACAUGUUGAGGAAGAAAGCAGAAGCCCCAAAGCUGCAGUAGAGCAGCUGAAUAAUGAGAGAGCUGCUAGCAUAGUGGCUGAUGCGCAGUGGCAGAGAGAGGCAAAGCAGGAAGUCAGCAGCUGUCAGGUUCUUCAGGUAGACCAUCAAGCUGCUCGAUGCCUGCUGCUGAGCUCCACAAAAGUAAAACUUCAUGAUGAAGCCAUUGAGGGGUAAACCCACCUGAAGCGACACAGAGGAUGAGGACGACAGGACUUUGGUGUAGAGCCUCGAGCCUCCACCUGCUUGACCUUUCAAAAUUGACUGGUACAUGCGUAUUGGCUGAUCUG